rnacentral:rRNA from 1 species
AUUGAACGCUGGCGGCAGGCCUAACACAUGCAAGUCGAGCGAGCGGCGGACGGGUGAGUAAUGUCUGGGAAACUGCCUGAUGGAGUGGGAUAACUACUGGAAACGGUAGCUAAUACCGCAUACCAUCAGAUGUGCCCAGAUGGGAUUAGCUAGUAGGUGGGGUAAUGGCUCACCUAGGCGACGAUCCCUAGCUGGUCUGAGAGGAUGACCAGCCACACUGUAACUUGGACGAGGUCCAGACUCCGACGGGAGGCAGCAGGGGGGAAUAUUCAACAAUGGGCGAAAGCCUGUUGCAGCCAUGCCGCGUAUGUGUAGAAGGCCUUCGGGUUGUAAAGCACUUUCCGCGGGGAGGCGUUACCAGCAGAAGAAGCACCGGCUAACUCCGUGCCAGCAGCCGCGGUAAUAC